rnacentral:rRNA from 1 species
UACAGAGGUGGCAAGCGUUGUUCGGAAUUACUGGGCGUAAAGGGCGCGUAGGCGGUUUCGUAAGUCCCGUGUGAAAGCCCCCGGCUCAACUGGGGAAUUGCACGGGAAACUGCGAGGCUUGAGUUCGGGAGAGGGAAGCGGAAUUCCGGGUGUAGCGGUGAAAUGCGUAGAUAUCGUGAGGAAGACCAGUGGCGAAGGCGGGUCUCUGGACAGUUCCUGACGCUGAGGCGCGAAGGCCAGGGGAGCAAACGGG